rnacentral:ribozyme from 1 species
GACGGCUGUGGCUGGGUGGAUGUCGGCACGGUGACCCUUCGAAUCGAUACGUGCUAUGUGCAAUGUCAGGAGGUGACGGAGGAGUGUUGGGAUCAGAAAUUCACGUGCGAUGACGACGGAAAUUUGCGAGUGACGUUUUA